AUGAAGCUGGCAUAGACAGGAAAGUUAUGAGGUGUGGAGUUUCGCUCCCGUGUCCUGUGGUGACGUAAGCGUGGACCUCCGGCUCUGGGCAAGAGUGUCUCCAAGUUUUGCUGGCCUCAUCAGCAGCAUGGGGAAGAGGAGAAAGUUCUAUGAGAUCUGCUCCUUGACUUUACCUUUGGUCCACAAAGACCCCGUAGGAUUUUCACAUUUGUCUUAGGAAAGUCUGAACACGCCUGCCAGAUGGUUGACAGUGAGCCCCCACAAGACACAGAAUGGAGGCUUGGUGUGGUCCUGGUCCCUGCACGGGGCACACAAAAGUUGCCAAGUGGGUAUUGCAAGUUUUGAGGGACUUCACAUAUCUCAGAGAAAAGAUGUGUAACUACACAUAGUCACGAAGAUAAUGAGUUCAUGCUUACUCACUUCUCUUCACCCGGAAAAAUAAUGUACGCUAAAUGCUGUGUUUUUAAUCUGGGCCAAAUACUUGGCUGAAAGCUCUCUGGGUCUUAUCCUACUUGAUUCUACACACAGUCCUAAUAUGUAGGCUGUUACUGACACCCUUGUUUUAGAGAGGGAUGCUUUCCACAGAAAGGGGAAGCUGCUGAUGCCACGGACCUCACGAGGAAGGGAGCAGGCAUUCAAACCCAAGGAGACCGACUGAAUGCCGAUAUACUAACGACCAGACUAGACUUUGAGGGGUUUGCCCCCUUCCCCCCAGGGAGGGUGGUGUGGGUCUUGAGGACCUUUCAGGAUUGCACCCUACUCAUCCAGGAUUCUCCUCAAACAAUCCACAGGUUCCAAGCUCCCACUGGCAAAGCACCAGGAACGAGUUACAAAGUGUGCUGAACUACCCACGGAGGGGCCACAUCUGAUCUUCAGAGCAAGCCUCUGCCCCUUCCUCCCACCGGGUUCCAAUAUCCAAGAGUCAGACCUUAGGUUUCCAGCCCCUGGUGCGUAGAGGUGCUUGAUUAAAUCUUUUGAUAAGAA